CUAAAAUGAUGUAAACUUUAAUCCGAAUAACCAUGUGGUUACAAAAUAUACGAGCUUUUUAACACUGAUUGGU